AAAAGUAGUAUGAAUAACAACAGUCAUAAAAAGCAUAACUUUUUGUUGGUUGGAAAUGUCCUUCUGGGGGGAUUCUCUGUUUUUUCCACCUAAAAACCCCCGAAAAUCCGCAUAUUGUACUUUCAUACUUUUUGAGGGUUAAAUUAACUAUUGAUCACACAUAUCAUAAUAUAUGUAAAUCGAGAUAUUGAUCAAAAAGCAUUUUUAUUUUUUGUUUUUAUAGUAAGUUUUAUUCUGUCGGCACUUUUUGAAAUUGGCCCUUCUGUGAAAAAAAUCCCCGGCAAAUUGGCCCUUCCUCUUUAUCUAUAAUACUAAAAUUACGAGGUCCAAUUUGUCAGCCGUCAUCACGUAAAAACGACGAAUCAAAGAAUUUAACUUUAUAUACAACUAAUAUAGUACACAGGUGUAGAUUAAAAAUUACACCACUCCAGGCC
rnacentral:lncRNA from 1 species